UACAGAGGUCUCAAGCGUUGUUCGGAUUCAUUGGGCGUAAAGGGUGUGUAGGCGGCGCGGUAAGUCGGGUGUGAAAUCUCGGGGCUUAACUCCGAAACUGCAUUCGAUACUGCCGUGCUUGAGGACUGGAGAGGAGACUGGAAUUUACGGUGUAGCGGUGAAAUGCGUAGAUAUCGUAAGGAAGACCAGUGGCGAAGGCGGGUCUCUGGACAGUUCCUGACGCUGAGGCACGAAGGCCAGGGGAGCAAACGGG
rnacentral:rRNA from 1 species